rnacentral:lncRNA from 1 species
AACUAGUACAUUGUAUCAGGUAAAAUGUUUCCAAUAAAUUAGGAACUCUUUCUACCUUUAUUAGUUUAUCAUAUUGAGUUUAAUAUUUAUAAAAUAUUUUUAAUGUAUUUCGGUUUACAUUGUUGGAACAAAGCUUUCCAUUUUUGGAGUGUAUCUCAUUUUUACAUUUUUGUCUCACGAAAGCUCUGACGAAGCUUUCCAAUCAUUUACCUUUUGGUUUUAUUUAUACUUUUUUUUUCUUCAUACAAGUAAUUUUUUGGUUUUAUUUCUAGCUUUAAUGUUAACUUUGCUUUGAGUUUUAUUUUAUUUUAUUUUUUUGUUAAAUGGUUU